rnacentral:tRNA from 1 species
GCUCUUGUAGCUCAGUGGCAGAGCACGGGUCUUAUGAGCCCGUGGUCAUGGGUUCGAAUCCCAUCAGGAGCA